GAUGAACGCUGGCGGCGUGCCUAAUACAUGCAAGUCGAGCGAACAGACGAGGAGCUUGCUCCUCUGACGUUAGCGGCGGACGGGUGAGUAACACGUGGAUAACCUACCUAUAAGACUGGGAUAACUUCGGGAAACCGGAGCUAAUAGCGGAUAAUAUAUUGAACCGCAUGGUGCGAUAGUGAAAGACGGUUUUGCUGUCACUUAUAGAUGGAUCCGCGCCGCAUUAGCUGGUUGGUAAGGUAACGGCUUACCAAGGCAACGAUGCGUAGCCGACCUGAGAGGGUGAUCGGCCACACUGGAACUGAGACACGGUCCAGACUCCUACGGGAGGCAGCAGUAGGGAAUCUUCCGCAAUGGGCGAAAGCCUGACGGAGCAACGCCGCGUGAGUGAUGAAGGUCUUCGGAUCGUAAAACUCUGUUAUUAGGGAAGAGCCAAUGUGUAAGUAACUAUGCACGUCUUGACGGUACCUAAUCAGAAAGCCACGGCUAACUACGUG
rnacentral:rRNA from 1 species